GAUGAACGCUGGCGGCGUGCCUAAUACAUGCAAGUCGAGCGAACGGACGAGAAGCUUGCUUCUCUGAUGUUAGCGGCGGACGGGUGAGUAACACGUGGAUAACCUACCUAUAAGACUGGGAUAACUUCGGGAAACCGUAGCUAAUACCGGAUAAUAUUUUGAACCGCAUGGUUCAAAAGUGAAAGACGGUCUUGCUGUCACUUAUAGAUGGAUCCGCGCUGCAUUAGCUAGUUGGUAAGGUAACGGCUUACCAAGGCAACGAUGCAUAGCCGACCUGAGAGGGUGAUCGGCCACACUGGAACUGAGACACGGUCCAGACCCCUACGGGAGGCAGCAGUAGGGAAUCUUCCGCAAUGGGCGAAAGCCUGACGGAGCAACGCCGCGUGAGUGAUGAAGGUCUUCGGAUCGUAAAACUCUGUUAUUAGGGAAGAACAUAUGUGUAAGUAACUGUGCACAUCUUGACGGUACCUAAUCAGAAAGCCACGGCUAACUACGUGCCAGCAGCCGCGGUAAUACGUAGGUGGCAAGCGUUAUCCGGAAUUAUUGGGCGUAAAGCGCGCGUAGGCGGUUUUUUAAGUCUGAUGUGAAAGCCCACGGCUCAACCGUGGAGGGUCAUUGGAAACUGGAAAACUUGAGUGCAGAAGAGGAAAGUGGAAUUCCAUGUGUAGCGGUGAAAUGCGCAGAGAUAUGGAGGAACACCAGUGGCGAAGGCGACUUUCUGGUCUGUAACUGACGCUGAUGUGCGAAAGCGUGGGGAUCAAACAGGAUUAGAUACCCUGGUAGUCCACGCCGUAAACGAUGAGUGCUAAGUGUUAGGGGGUUUCCGCCCCUUAGUGCUGCAGCUAACGCAUUAAGCACUCCGCCUGGGGAGUACGACCGCAAGGUUGAAACUCAAAGGAAUUGACGGGGACCCGCACAAGCGGUGGAGCAUGUGGUUUAAUUCGAAGCAACGCGAAGAACCUUACCAAAUCUUGACAUCCUUUGACAACUCUAGAGAUAGAGCCUUCCCCUUCGGGGGACAAAGUGACAGGUGGUGCAUGGUUGUCGUCAGCUCGUGUCGUGAGAUGUUGGGUUAAGUCCCGCAACGAGCGCAACCCUUAAGCUUAGUUGCCAUCAUUAAGUUGGGCACUCUAAGUUGACUGCCGGUGACAAACCGGAGGAAGGUGGGGAUGACGUCAAAUCAUCAUGCCCCUUAUGAUUUGGGCUACACACGUGCUACAAUGGACAAUACAAAGGGCAGCGAAACCGCGAGGUCAAGCAAAUCCCAUAAAGUUGUUCUCAGUUCGGAUUGUAGUCUGCAACUCGACUACAUGAAGCUGGAAUCGCUAGUAAUCGUAGAUCAGCAUGCUACGGUGAAUACGUUCCCGGGUCU
rnacentral:rRNA from 1 species